CAUCUUGAUCCACUGGUUAUUGUUUUUAAAAACGGUGGUUACCACACAAAUUCAGCAAGAAGAUCCAGAUAUCCAGUAACACAUGAUCCCAAACUAACCAAUCACGAGAGAAGUUAAUCUUUGCUAAAUG